rnacentral:rRNA from 1 species
AGGACGAACGCUGGCGGCGUGCCUAACACAUGCAAGUCGAGCGGAGAGUAUUUGGCAGUUUACUGUCGGAUAUAUCUUAGCGGCGCACGGGUGAGUAACACGUGGGUGAUCUGCCUGAGAGACCGGGAUAACAGUUCGAAAGGGCUGCUAAUACCGGAUGACACCUGGUAUGUAAGUAUCGGGUCAAAGAUUUUAUCGCUUUCAGAUGAGCCCGCGUCCCAUUAGUUAGUUGGUGGGGUAAAGGCCUACCAAGGCAACGAUGGGUAGCCGGUCUGAGAGGAUGGUCGGCCACACUGGAACUGAGACACGGUCCAGACUCCUACGGGAGGCAGCAGUGGGGAAUUUUGCGCAAUGGGGGCAACCCUGACGCAGCGACGCCGCGUGAGUGAAGAAGGCCUUCGGGUUGUAAAGCUCUGUCUGGGGGGAAGAUAGUGACGGUACCCCUGAAGGAAGCCCCGGCUAACUACGUGCCAGCAGCCGCGGU